AUUGAACGCUGGCGGCAGGCCUAACACAUGCAAGUCGAGCGGAGCGGGGACGGGUGAGUAACACGUGGGUAACCUCCCAUCAGAGGGGAUAACACUUGGAAACAGGUGCUAAACCGAUACUGAUGGAUGAACCCGCGGUGCAUUAGGUAUUUGGUGAGGUAACGGCGCACCACGGCCACGAUGCAUAGCCGACCUGAGAGGGGGACCGGCCAAACUGGAGCUGAGACACGGCCCAGACUCCUACGGGAGGCAGCAGUAGGGAAUCUUCGGCAAUGGACGAAAGUCUGACCGAGCAACGCCGCGUGAAUGAAGAAGGUUUUCGGAUCGUAAAACUCUGUUGUUGGAGAAGCGGUAUCUAACCAGUAAGCCACGGCUAACUACGUGCCAGCAGCCGCGGUAAUUC
rnacentral:rRNA from 1 species